rnacentral:rRNA from 1 species
CAGUCGCCACGGUAAUACAGAGGGUGCGAGCGUUAAUCGGAUUUACUGGGCGUAGAGCGUGCGUAGGCGGCUUCUUAAGUCGGAUGUGAAAUCCCUGAGCUUAACUUAGGAAUUGCAUUCGAUACUGGGAAGCUAGAGUAUGGGAGAGGAUGGUAGAAUUCCAGGUGUAGCGGUGAAAUGCGUAGAGAUCUGGAGGAAUACCGAUGGCGAAGGCAGCCAUCUGGCCUAAUACUGACGCUGAGGUACGAAAGCAUGGGGAGCAAACAGGAUUAGAUACCCCAGUAGUCCCUGUCUCUUAUAC